GAUGAACGCUGACAGAAUGCUUAACACAUGCAAGUCAACUUGAACUUCGGUUUGGGUGGCGGACGGGUGAGUAACGCGUAAAGAACUUGCCUCACAGCUAGGGACAACAUUUGGAAACGAAUGCUAAUACCUGAUAUUAUGAUUAUAUGGCAUCGUAUAAUUAUGAAAGCUAUAUGCGCUGUGAGAGAGCUUUGCGUCCCAUUAGCUAGUUGGAGAGGUAACAGCUCACCAAGGCGAUGAUGGGUAGCCGGCCUGAGAGGGUGAUCGGCCACAAGGGGACUGGGACACGGCCCUUACUCCUACGGGAGGCAGCAGUGGGGAAUAUUGGACAAGGGACCGAGAGUCUUGUCCAGCAAUUCUGUGUGCACGAUGAAGUUUUUCGGAAUGUAAAGUGCUUUCAGUUGGGGAGAAAAAAAUGACGGUACCAACAGAAGAAGUGACGGCUAAAUACGUG
rnacentral:rRNA from 1 species